UUCCAUUGUAGCUGAACAGUUUCCCUGGUUACAAGGGCUAAACCUAGCCUACAUCAUCUCUCAAGCUAAACACGGUGUUUCAAUAAGAAUGGACAGAGACAACAAGAGAGGUGUUUUCAGAGAAACAAGGCUUAAAUACAGAUGGAUGAGACAGUAAAGGAAAAACCAACAUAGUGUCUUAAUUGGGCCACCACACGCUGGCAGGAGAGCUUCAGUGGCACAGAUUCUAGAUUCAAGUCCCUGGGAUUAGGGGGAUGGACUCUGUUCUUCCCAAAGAUAUUCCCUCAGUUGGUGUUCUGAUGAGGCAGUGGAGAGCAAGUCACUCUGGUGGCAGUGAAAAUCUCACUCCAAUAUUUCCCAUAGGUGUUCAAUUGGGUUGAGAUCUGGUGAGUGUGAAUGCCAUCGCAUAUGCUCAAGAGACCAUUCAGUGGGCCCUUGUGUCCUGUGGAUGGAAGUGGGGGCAUCCUGGAAGAGACCACGCCCAUCAGGAUAGAUGAUAAAGGUCAAGUCCAUUCAACUGGUACUGGGACUUCUGAUGGUGACUGAUUGCCUCCAGAACUAACUUCGCUCAACUUUGGUCAUGGGUGAGCUAGGUCAUGGAGCUGGUCAUGGGAUAACGUUAGCUCUCUUGCGUCAUCUUAAAAGUGAUGGGAACCUCGUGAUUUUUUUGUGAGUUGUAAGAGAGAUUGUCUAACUUAUCAUCAGAUCUAAUUCACAUACAGAGCACAACUACUUGUGGAAUCCAAGGGCGAAACAGUCCAAACUUUGGGAUCUAAAAAAAAGAAAGAAAGCCUUUCAGGAGCUCCAUCACCUCCUUUUCCUCUUCAGCAGCCAUCUCCUGGUCCAUGUCCUUUUAUCUUUUUUGCUGAG